rnacentral:rRNA from 1 species
ACCGUAGUUUACUACACCGUAUUCUGUGAGUUGCGAACGGGUGAGUAACGCGUAGGUAACCUGCCUGGUAGCGGGGGAUAACUAUUGGAAACGAUAGCUAAUACCGCAUAAGAACAUGUACUGCAUGGUAGAUGUUUAAAAGGUGCAAAUGCAUCACUACCAGAUGGACCUGCGUUGUAUUAGCUAGUAGGUGAGGUAACGGCUCACCUAGGCGACGAUACAUAGCCGACCUGAGAGGGUGAUCGGCCACACUGGGACUGAGACACGGCCCAGACUCCUACGGGAGGCAGCAGUAGGGAAUCUUCGGCAAUGGGGGGAACCCUGACCGAGCAACGCCGCGUGAGUGAAGAAGGUUUUCGGAUCGUAAAGCUCUGUUGUUAAGGAAGAACGAGUGUGAGAAUGGAAAGUUCAUACUGUGACGGUACUUAACCAGAAAGGGACGGCUAACUACGUGCCAGCAGCCGCGGUAAUACGUAGGUCCCGAGCGUUGUCCGGAUUUAUUGGGCGUAAAGCGAGCGCAGGCGGUUAGAUAAGUCUGAAGUUAAAGGCAGUGGCUCAACCAUUGUAGGCUUUGGAAACUGUUUAACUUGAGUGCAGAAGGGGAGAGUGGAAUUCCAUGUGUAGCGGUGAAAUGCGUAGAUAUAUGGAGGAACACCGGUGGCGAAAGCGGCUCUCUGGUCUGUAACUGACGCUGAGGCUCGAAAGCGUGGGGAGCGAACAGGAUUAGAUACCCUGGUAGUCCACGCCGUAAACGAUGAGUGCUAGGUGUUAGGUCCUUUCCGGGACUUAGUGCCGCAGCUAACGCAUUAAGCACUCCGCCUGGGGAGUACGA